rnacentral:snoRNA from 1 species
AUAUGAGAAGAUAAAAAAUGUAAUAAAUAAAAAAGUAUCAUGUCUUGGUUUUUGUAAUCAUGCUAGCAGAGUACACACAGGAAGAAAAGUAACUGCACUGGAUUGUAAAGACUGGGGUGGACCUCUUUCUUAAUAUCCAGUGUCCUUUGUCUUAAGAUUUGGUGCAAUACAU